rnacentral:lncRNA from 1 species
AGCAAACCUACUGCUGGAAUAUUCCACAUGCCAAGGCCAGCAGAACUGAGCCAUCUGAUUGUGUAUCUUACUGCCAGAAAGGUUGUCCCAUCACAGCCCGCUGAAAGCUUGUGAGCUGCAAUUGCACGUUGAGAUCUCAGCAUGAAUGCUGCAGCUUAAAGUUCAAGCAGAGAUUAAUCAAGCAGGACAUCAUCCAUUUAACACCACAUCCUCUGAACAUCAAGACACACAGGAUUCAUCCCAAAGCACAUCAAAUGUCCCUGGUUUGGCUGGAAGCCUUUGUAGACAGUGAAGUC